CCUACGCCUCCUUUCUCUUCGGCAUCUCCUUUCGCCUGGGGUGACGGCUUUCCCCGCCGGCCUCGGAAGGAUGACCUGUAGUCUCUCCCCCAGGCUCCACGACUUCUCGGAGUUUGAAGAUGGGACGUGUAACCGGAUAGGUCUCAGACCAAGGUCAUGACCUCCACUCCUAGGGACUCAGAUCACUGAACUCAUUUGGCCUGGUAGCACCCUAGUGAAAUCAAAGACGCUGAGCAUACCACUAUAAUCCCCACCCUCUAGCAGAGUAUGGAUGCUUAACUGAUGCUCAAUUAUUUAUAAACAGUGAAGGAAUACAGUCAGUUUUGUUGGCCUCUAACUGCUAGGGAUAAAUUUCUUCUCAGACUUUCCAGAAAACCUCAUGCUUGGACUAAGAUCAAGAAAAGAAAACUCCAUGCUUUUCUCCAGACUUUUCUUCCAAGCUCCUUGUUAAGCCCUUGGACCCCUGCCAGAAGGGAGAUGAUGGUUGCAAAAGCAAAGACUGGCAUUUGGAGAAGCUCUCUGGGAUGUCGAAGCUGCACACUGCCCCUCCUCCUGCCUUCCAAUUUCUGUGUAUGAAAGUGACUUU
ensembl:lncRNA